rnacentral:rRNA from 1 species
GUCUGCAACUCGACUAUAUGAAGCUGGAAUCGCUAGUAAUCGCGGAUCAGAAUGCCGCGGUGAAUACGUUCCCGGGUCUUGUACACACCGCCCGUCACACCAUGGGAGUUGGAAACGCCCGAAGCCGGUGACCCAACCUGAGAAGGAGGGAGCCGUCGAAGGCGGGUCUGAUGACUGGGGUGAAGUCGUAACAAGGUAUC